AUUGAACGCUGGCGGAAUGCUUUACACAUGCAAGUCGAGCGGCAGCGCGGGGCAACCUGGCGGCGAGCGGCGAACGGGUGAGUAAUGUAUCGGAACGUGUCCUUGAGUGGGGGAUAGCCCGGUGAAAACCGGAUUAAUACCGCAUACGCAGGAGACUGGAAAGCGGGGGAUCGCAAGACCUCGCGCUGGAGGCGCGGCCGAUAUCCGAUUAGCUAGAUGGUGAGGUAAAGGCUUACCAUGGCUGUGAUCGGUAGCUGGUCUGAGAGGAUGAUCAGCCACACUGGGACUGAGACACGGCCCAGACUCCUACGGGAGGCAGCAGUGGGGAAUUUUGGACAAUGGGGGCAACCCUGAUCCAGCCAUUCCGCGUGAGUGAAGAAGGCCUUCGGGUUGUAAAGCUCUUUUGUCGGGGACGAAACGGUUACGGUUAAUACCUGUGACUACUGACGGUACCCGAAGAAUAAGCACCGGCUAACUACGUGCCAGCAGCCGCCGUAA
rnacentral:rRNA from 1 species